CCGCGUUAGAUUAGCUAGUUGGUGAGGUAACGGCUCACCAAGGCGAUGACGGGUAGCCGGCCUAAGAGGGCGAUCGGCCACACUGGAACUGAGACACGGUCCAGACUCCUACGGGAGGCAGCAGUGGGGAAUUUUUGGCAAUGGGCGCAAGCCUGACCGAGCGACGCCGUGUGGACGAUGAAGGCCUUCGGGUUGUAAAGUCCUGUCAGGAAAGAAGAAAAAUAGUAUUUCAAAUAAAGAUAUCAUUUGACAGUAUUUGCAAAGGAAGCUCCGGCUAACUCCGUGCCAGCAGCCGCGGUAAAACGGAGGGAGCAAUCGUUAUUCGGAUUUACUGGGCGUAAAGAGCACGUAGGUGGCUUGAUAGGUCACAUGUUAAAUCCCCUUGCUUAACAAGGGACCAGCAUGUGAAACCAUCUAGCUUGAGUGCAGGGGAGGUAGACGGAAUUCCCGGUGGAGCGGUGAAAUGCGUAGAUAUCGGGAAGAACACCUGCGGCGAAAGCGGUCUACUAAACUGUUACUAACACUGAGGUGCGAAAGCUAGGGGAGCAAACAGGAUUAGAUACCCUGGUAGUCCUAGCUGUAAACGAUGGACACUAGGUGUGUUCACCUUUGGUGGACGUGCCGAAGCUAACGCUUUAAGUGUCCCGCCUGGGGAGUACAGUCGCAAGGCUGAAACUCAAAUGAAUUGACGG
rnacentral:rRNA from 1 species